rnacentral:rRNA from 1 species
CGUGGGGAACCUGCCCCAUAGUCUGGGAUACCACUUGGAAACAGGUGCUAAUACCGGAUAAGAAAGCGGAUCGCAUGAUCAGCUUUUAAAAGGCGGCGUAAGCUGUCGCUAUGGGAUGGCCCCGCGGUGCAUUAGCUAGUUGGUAAGGUAAAGGCUUACCAAGGCGAUGAUGCAUAGCCGAGUUGAGAGACUGAUCGGCCACAUUGGGACUGAGACACGGACCCAAACUCCUACGGGAGGCAGCAGGC